rnacentral:rRNA from 1 species
CAAUAGCGUAUAUUAAAGUUGUUGCAGUUAAAAAGCUCGUAGUUGGAUUUCUGGUUCGUCAGAAUGGCCCGGGCCGCAAGGCUCGCGUUUGCCGUUUCUGUUUCGUUCCAUCCUCGAGGAGGGCGUGCCUGGCAUUAGGUUGUCGGGUUCGGGAUCCUCGUCGUUUACUGUGAAAAAAUUAGAGUGUUCAAAGCAGGCUUAGGCCGUUGAAUAUCAAAGCAUGGAAUAAUGAGAUAGGGCCUCGGCGGUCUAUUUUGUUGGUUUGCACGCCAAGGUAAUGAUUAACAGGGAUAGUUGGGGGUAUUCGUAUUCAAUUGUCAGAGGUGAAAUUCUUGGAUUUAUGGAAGACGAACUACUGCGAAAGCAUUUACCAAGGAUGUUUUCAUUAA